AUAAUCGGCUAGACUUUAUAAACUUAUACUCUAAUUAAUGUUAAUUUAGAGUUAUUUUGGUAUUGAUUUUUAAUUUUAGGGUGAAAUCAGAAAUUAUUUUUAUUUAAACUCUAAAUUUUAAGAUUUAGUAAACAAACCAGAUUAGUACCUGGUUAGAUAAAAUUUAAAAGAGCAGGAGUAAAGUUAUAUUUAAACUGUAAGAAUAUUGGCAGGUUUUUAAAUUAUCUUUGGAGGCUGAGUAGUGAUUGAGAGCCCUCAUUUUCAACUUUUUCUUUAGGCGCAUGUAUGAUCGUUUAUUUUAUUCUUAAGGAUUGUAAUUUUAGUCUUUGCUAUAAAAAUAGAUAGAUAUCUGGCUUAUGAGAAAGAUUUAAUUUGGCCUACAAUAAUUUAAUUUUUGGAUUCUAGUUUUAGAGGCUAGAUGAAAUUGUAAAAGACAGUAAGUUGCUUUUAAUGGGUAGCUGAAGUUUAUUUAAAAACGGUACAAAUCAUCCAUCAAUUGCCUAUAGGGGAGUAAGUUGU
rnacentral:ncRNA from 1 species